UACGUAGGGGGCAAGCGUUGUCCGGAAUUAUUGGGCGUAAAGGGCUCGUAGGCGGUCUGUCGCGUCGGGAGUGAAAACUCAGGGCUUAACCCUGAGCCUGCUUCCGAUACGGGCAGACUAGAGGUAUGCAGGGGAGAACGGAAUUCCUGGUGUAGCGGUGGAAUGCGCAGAUAUCAGGAGGAACACCGGUGGCGAAGGCGGUUCUCUGGGCAUUACCUGACGCUGAGGAGCGAAAGCGUGGGGAGCAAACAGG
rnacentral:rRNA from 1 species